CUGGCCUUCGCCACAGGCUGCUCCGCAGGACCGGCUUGUGCGGACAAGCCUGGGCGCUGACUACAGAAUUUGAACUAGAUCAAAAUAACAUGCACCAAACACGCUAAAAGUAUUGCGUGCCUGGAACUGGCAUCUUUCAGGGUCCACCAGAAAUCUCUGUGUUGGGAAAACACGGGAGAUCCCUGGCUGAAGUCAAUUCACAGGAAGCUCGGCCUGAUCGAGGAUGUUGAGUGGACAGUUUGCAAUUUCAACAUAAGAAAUUGAGGAAACAACGUCAAGCAGACAAAGCAACUCCCUUUUCAGCCAAGACCAGCUUUACUUUUGAUUUGGCUGGAUGAACAAGGAUCCUGCCUGCAGCAGCUAUCCACUCCAGCAGUUUGUAAACUAUAGGUUUCAUAUAAGUACCCCAAAGUCUGAGUGUUUCUUCAUUGUCUUUUUGACCUGCAAAGCAGACUGAAAAUCUCUUGAGAACAGGAGCUCUUAUGACAGUAUAUGAACUUCAGGUCAGGACAGAGUCUCCUGGAUCAGCAUUCCUGACAGCAUUUCAGUGAUUCUCUGUUGGUCCCAGCUGGAACCUGUACAUGCUGAGGCAGCUGCAAAACAGACAAUAAGCUCAAUUGAACAGCUUCCAGCUUUGGUAGAGCUCUGGAGUUCAGCUUAAAUUUGGGAAGGAGAAAGUUCAGGUUGGUCCUUUUCAUUUACAUUACUUCAUUCAUUUCGUAACAAGGGACCAC